CCUACGGGUGGCAGCAGUAGGGAAUAUUGCUCAAUGGGGGAAACCCUGAAGCAGCAACGCCGCGUGGAGGAUGAAGGUUUUCGGAUUGUAAAGUCCUUUUGUUAGGGAAGAUAAUGACGGUAUCUAACCAAUACGCCCCGGCUAACUCCGUGCCAGCAGCCGCGGUAAUACGUAGGGUGCAAGCGUUACCCGGAAUCACUGGGCGUAAAGGGCGCGUAGGCGGGUGCGCAAGUCAGGAGUGAAAUCCUAGGGCUGAACCAUAGAACUGCAUUUGAAACUGUUUAUCUAGAGUGUGGGAGAGGUAGGUGGAAUUCUUGGUGUAGGGGUAAAAUCCGUAGAGAUCAAGAGGAAUACUCAUUGCGAAGGCGACCUGCUAGAACGUAACUGACGCUGAGGCGCGAAAGCGUGGGGAGCAAACAGGAUUAGAUACCCGUGUAGUC
rnacentral:rRNA from 1 species